GAGGAAAUGGCUCAGUAGUAGAGCUCAUGAUUAGUAAACAUGAAGCCCUGGGUUUAAUGCCCAGCUUCU
rnacentral:tRNA from 1 species